AAUGAACGUUGGCGGCGUGCUUAACACAUGCAAGUCGAGCGGUAAGGCCUUUCGGGGUACACGAGCGGCGAACGGGUGAGUAACACGUGAGCAAUCUGCCCUCCACUUUGGGAUAACUCCCGGAAACGGGUGCUAAUACCGGAUAUGACCGUACCUCGCAUGGGGUGUGGUGGAAAGUUCUGGCGGUGGAGGAUGAGCUCGCGGCCUAUCAGCUUGUUGGUGGGGUAAUGGCCUACCAAGGCUUCGACGGGUAGCCGGCCUGAGAGGGUGACCGGCCACACUGGGACUGAGACACGGCCCAGACUCCUACGGGAGGCAGCAGUGGGGAAUAUUGGACAAUGGGCGAAAGCCUGAUCCAGCAACGCCGCGUGAGGGAUGACGGCCUUCGGGUUGUAAACCUCUUUCAGCACAGACGAAGCGCAAGUGACGGUAUGUGCAGAAGAAGCACCGGCCAACUACGUGCCAGCCGCCGCGGUAAUAC
rnacentral:rRNA from 1 species